UACGGGGGAUGCAAGCGUUAUCCGGAUUUAUUGGGUUUAAAGGGUGCGUAGGCUGUGAGGUAAGUCAGCGGUGAAAUGCCCCCGCUCAACGGGGUGAAGUGCCAUUGAUACUGCCUUGCUGGAAUGCGGAUGCCGUGGGAGGAAUGUGUGGUGUAGCGGUGAAAUGCAUAGAUAUCACACAGAACACCGAUUGCGAAGGCAUCUCACGAAUCCGCUAUUGACGCUGAUGCACGAAAGCGUGGGUAUCAAACAGG
rnacentral:rRNA from 1 species